UCCUACGGCCAUACCACCCUGAACGCGCCCGAUCGUCUGAUCUCGGAAGCUAAGCAGGGUCAGGCCUGGUUAGUACUUGGAUGGGAGACAGAUACAAUCUUAC
rnacentral:rRNA from 1 species